rnacentral:lncRNA from 1 species
ACUGGGAAGUGCCUGGAUGUGAUUUAGUAAGUCAGAAACAAAUCCGUGAAUAGAACAAAUAAGCUGCCAUUCCCUGUCUUAAGUUUUUAAAAACAUAUCAUAUUCUCUCACGCUCUAAAUUAACAACCUAUCAACUUGAAAUUUAGGACAUUUUCUUAAUUCUGACAUUAAUUUAUUAAAAGCAUUUGAAUCAGCCUCAUAUGUAAUUUCUGUCACUUGUCAGAACUGUAUUUGAAUGACUAGUAAAAUGUAAUUUUAGUUCUGAGGGCUUUCACAGCACGGUAGGACAAACACAUGUAGCACAUUACUAGUCCACCCAAACUCAAGACCCUUACCUCAUCCGAUUAUUCAAAAAAUGUGCAAAUGGUGUGCUGUUCAACAUGCUGUGACAUCAGUAAGUCACCCAGGUUUAAACGUUUGAAGUCACCUUAUUCUUUUUUAUAACAAACUAAAAAAUAACCAUUAAUGCCUUUCUUGUUCUAUCUAGACAAUAUUUCUUCUCUGCAAAACUGAUUGUGGAGUUGUCAACAAGUUCAAGGCCAGGAAUAAGGCCUAAAUGUCACUGUGAAAGUAUAUCUAACAGUGUCUGAUAAUUCUUACCUAAUGUUUUAGAAAUUAAUAGACUUAGUUAAAAAUACCUUCUUACAUAGUUUCAGAUGAUGGUUUCUAUUUUUAUAAGUUCCUCAAAUUUCCUUAAUAAGUAUGUGCUAAUUUUAUCACAAAUAAAAAUGUAGUCAAUUUUAUUUAGAAAAUAAGAAACCAAGAUAACAAAGUUGAUGACCUCACAGGUGUACAGGAUAGAAGGCUGUUAAUAUAAUUUAAUUCAGUGGAUGCUCAGCACAAUCCCUUUCCCUUAAAAA